GACGAACGCUGGCGGCGUGCUUAACACAUGCAAGUCGAACGGAAAGGCCCUGCUUUUGUGGGGUGCUCGAGUGGCGAACGGGUGAGUAACACGUGAGUAACCUGCCCUUGACUUUGGGAUAACUUCAGGAAACUGGGGCUAAUACCGGAUAGGAGCUCCUGCUGCAUGGUGGGGGUUGGAAAGUUUCGGCGGUUGGGGAUGGACUCGCGGCUUAUCAGCUUGCUGGUGGGGUAGUGGCUUACCAAGGCUUUGACGGGUAGCCGGCCUGAGAGGGUGACCGGACACAUUGGGACUGAGAUACGGCCCAGACUCCUACGGGAGGCAGCAGUGGGGAAUAUUGCACAAUGGGCGGAAGCCUGAUGCAGCAACGCCGCGUGCGGGAUGACGGCCUUCGGGUUGUAAACCGCUUUCGCCUGUGACGAAGCGUGAGUGACGGUAAUGGGUAAAGAAGCACCGGCUAACUACGUG
rnacentral:rRNA from 1 species